ACCUUCAUGGUGUAGUGGUCAGCACGCUCGACACUUAUUCGAGAGGUCCAUGGUUCAAGUCCAGGUGAGGGCA
rnacentral:tRNA from 1 species